rnacentral:sRNA from 1 species
CACCUCCCCACUUGGCACAACCACUGCAUUACCCUUUUCACCAUACAUAAAGCCCACCCUUCAACGACGAAGGUCGGGCUUCCCGAGAGAACGGGACCAGGACAAAGGCGUCCUCGCUAGGCAACUAGCGGGACGCC